rnacentral:sRNA from 1 species
UAUUCUGCCCCAUGGGGAAGGAUGAGAAGCUUCGACCAAGGUUCGACUCGAGCGAAGCGAGAGAACGUUGCCGCAGGCAACGGCCCGAAGGGCGAGGAGCGAUAGCGACGAGUUAUCCUUCCCCCACCACCA